rnacentral:rRNA from 1 species
UGAAUACGAGACGCUAAGGCGUCGAAGUAGUGUAUGUCAUACUUCCAAGAAAAGCUUGCACUGUCAUAGAUAAAAAACGCCUGUACCAUAACCGACACAGGUGGGUAGGUAGAGUAUACUAAGGGGCGCGAGAUAACUCUCUCUAAGGAACUCGGCAAAAUAACUCCGUAACUUCGGGAGAAGGAGUGCCUUAUUCGUAAGGUUGCAAUAACAAGAUCCAAGCAACUGUUUAUCAAAAACACAGGUCUCCGCUAAGUCGUAAGACGAUGUAUGGGGGCUGACGCCUGCCCAGUGCCAGAAGGUUAAAGAAGUUGGUUAGCAAUUGCGAAGCUGAUAACUGAAGCCCUGGUGAACGGCGGCCGUAACUAUAACGGUCCUAAGGUAGCGAAAUUCCUUGUCGGGUAAGUUCCGACCCGCACGAAAGGCGUAAUGAUUUGGAUACUGUCUCGGAGAGGGGCUCGGUGAAAUAGACUUGUCUGUGAAGAUGCGGACUACCUGCACCAGGACAGAAAGACCCUAUGAAGCUUUACUGUAACUUGAAAUUGAAAUUGGACUUUAUUCGCGCAGUAUAGGUGGGAGGCGUUGAUUAUAAUCUUGUGGGAUUAUUGGAGCCAUCAGUGAGAUACCACUCUUGUAAUGUUAGAUUUCUAACUUUGAAUCAUUAUCUGGUCAAAGAACAGUUUCAGGCGGGCAGUUUGACUGGGGCGGUCGCCUCCUAAACGGUAACGGAGGCGUACAAAGGUUUCCUCUGAACGGUUAGAAAUCGUAUCUAGAGUGUAAAGGCAUAAGGAAGCUUGACUGUGAGACCUACAAGUCGAGCAGGGACGAAAGUCGGUCUUAGUGAUCUGACGGUACUGAGUGGAAAGGCCGUCACUCAACGGAUAAAAGUUACUCUAAGGAUAACAGGCUGAUCUCCCCCAAGAGUUCACAUCGACGGGGAGGUUUGGCACCUCGAUGUCGGCUCAUCGCAUCCUGGGGCGGUAGUACGUCCCAAGGGUUGGGCUGUUCGCCCAUGAAAGCGGUACGCGAGCUGGGUUCAGAACGUCGUGAGACAGUUCGGUCCAUAUCCGGUGUAGGCGUUAGAAUAUUGAGAGGAGCCUUCUUUAGUACGAGAGGACCGAGAAGGACAUACCUCUGGUGUACCAGUUAUCGUGCCAACGGUAAACGCUGGGUAGCUAUGUAUGGAGUGGAUAACCGCUGAAAGCAUCUAAGUGGGAAGCCCCCCUCAAGAUAAGUAUUCUCAUC